UACGAAGGGGGCUAGCGUUGCUCGGAAUCACUGGGCGUAAAGCGCACGUAGGCGGCUUUCUAAGUCAGGGGUGAAAUCCUGGAGCUCAACUCCAGAACUGCCCUUGAUACUGGAGAGCUUGAGUUCGGGAGAGGUGAGUGGAACUGCGAGUGUAGAGGUGAAAUUCGUAGAUAUUCGCAAAAACACCAGUGGCGAAGGCGGCUCACUGGCCCGAUACUGACGCUGAGGUGCGAAAGCGUGGGGAGCAAACAGG
rnacentral:rRNA from 1 species